CUGGAUGGGCUAGGGCGGCGCGAGCUGUACCAAACCUAACCAAACUCCGAAUACCAUCGAGUCUAGUCCGGCAGACAGACAUUGGGUGCUAACGUCCAGUGUCGAAAGGGAAACAACCCAGACCCUCAGCUAAGGUCCCAAAGAUAUAAUUAAGUGGUAAACGAAGUGGAAAGGCAUAAACAGUCAGGAGAUUGGCUUAGAAGCAGCCAUUCUUUAAAGAAAGCGUAAUAGCUCACUGAUCGAGUCUUUCUGCGCGGAAGAUGUAACGGGGCUAAAUUAUACACCGAAGCUAGGGAUUCAUAUAUUUUGUAUGGAUGGUAGGAGAGCGUUCCGUAGGCCUGUGAAGAUAAUUUGUGAAAAUUGUUGGAGGUAUCGGAAGUGCGAAUGCUGACAUGAGUAGCGAUAAAGGAAGUGAAAAACUUCCUCGCCGAAAACCCAAGGUUUCCUG
rnacentral:rRNA from 1 species